AUUGAACGCUGGCGGCAGGCCUAACACAUGCAAGUCGAACGAGUGGCGGACGGGUGAGUAAUGUCUGGGAAACUGCCUGAUGGAGGGUGAUAACUACUGGCAACGGUAGCUAAUACCGCAUACUAUAAGAUUUGCCCAGAUGGGAUUAGCUGGUUGGUGGGGUAACGGCUCACCAAGGCGACGAUCCCUAGCUGGUCUGAGAGGAGGACGCGACAAACUGGAAGUGAGAGAGGGUCCAGACUCCUCGGGAAGGCAGAAGUGGGGAAUAUUGCAAAAUGGGGGAAAGCCUGCUGCAUAAAUGCGGGGUGUAUGAGGAAGGCCUUCGGGUUGUAAAGUACUUUCAUCGGGGAGGCGUUACCCGCCGAAGAAGCAACGACUAACUCCGUGCCAGCAGCCGCGGUAAUUC
rnacentral:rRNA from 1 species